AAGACCUUGUGCUUUUGGAGCGGCCGAUGUCUGAUUAGCUAGUUGGUGAGGUAAAGGCUUACCAAGGCUUCGAUCAGUAGCUGGUCUGAGAGGACGACCAGCCACACUGGGACUGAGACACGGCCCAGACUCCUACGGGAGGCAGCAGUGGGGAAUUUUGGACAAUGGGGGCAACCCUGAUCCAGCCAUGCCGCGUGAGUGAAGAAGGCCUUCGGGUUGUAAGGCUCUUUCAGCCGGAACGAAACGGUCACGGUUAAUAACUGUGAUCACUGACGGUACCGGAAGAAGAAGCACCGGCUAACUACGUGCCAGCAGCCGCGGUAAUACGUAGGGUGCGAGCGUUAAUCGGAAUUACUGGGCGUAAAGCGUGCGCAGGCGGUUUUGUAAGUCAGAUGUGAAAUCCCCGGGCUUAACCUGGGAACU
rnacentral:rRNA from 1 species